ACGCUCGACACCUACGGAGGCAGCAGUGGGGAAUAUUGCACAAUGGGGGAAACCCUGAUGCAGCAACGCCGCGUGAAGGAAGACGGUUUUCGGAUUGUAAACUUCUGUUCUUAGUGAAGAUAGUGACGGUAGCUAAGGAGCAAGCCACGGCUAACUACGCGCCAGCAGCCGCGGUAAUCUGAGCGGGCUGGCAAGGC
rnacentral:rRNA from 1 species